rnacentral:rRNA from 1 species
ACAGCAGCAGCCGCGGUAAUACGUAGGGCGCAAGCGUUGUCCGGAAUUAUUGGGCGUAAAGAGCUCGUAGGCGGUCUGUCGCGUCUGGUGUGAAAUCCCGAGGCUCAACCUCGGGCUUGCAUCGGGUACGGGCAGACUAGAGUGCGGUAGGGGAGACUGGAAUUCCUGGUGUAGCGGUGGAAUGCGCAGAUAUCAGGAGGAACACCGAUGGCGAAGGCAGGUCUCUGGGCCGCAACUGACGCUGAGGAGCGAAAGCAUGGGGAGCGAACAGGAUUAGAUACCCCCGUAGUCCCUGUCUCUUAUAC